UUGAACGCUGGCGGCAGGCCUAACACAUGCAAGUCGAGCGGUAGCACAGAGAGCUUGCUCUCGGGUGACGAGCGGCGGACGGGUGAGUAAUGUCUGGGAAACUGCCUGAUGGAGGGGGAUAACUACUGGAAACGGUAGCUAAUACCGCAUAACGUCGCAAGACCAAAGUGGGGGACCUUCGGGCCUCAUGCCAUCAGAUGUGCCCAGAUGGGAUUAGCUAGUAGGUGGGGUAACGGCUCACCUAGGCGACGAUCCCUAGCUGGUCUGAGAGGAUGACCAGCCACACUGGAACUGAGACACGGUCCAGACUCCUACGGGAGGCAGCAGUGGGGAAUAUUGCACAAUGGGCGCAAGCCUGAUGCAGCCAUGCCGCGUGUGUGAAGAAGGCCUUCGGGUUGUAAAGCACUUUCAGCGGGGAGGAAGGCGAUAAGGUUAAUAACCUUGUCGAUUGACGUUACCCGCAGAAGAAGCACCGGCUAACUCCGUGCCAGCAGCCGCGGUAAUACGGAGGGUGCAAGCGUUAAUCGGAAUUACUGGGCGUAAAGCGCACGCAGGCGGUCUGUCAAGUCGGAUGUGAAAUCCCCGGGCUCAACCUGGGAACUGCAUUCGAAACUGGCAGGCUAGAGUCUUGUAGAGGGGGGUAGAAUUCCAGGUGUAGCGGUGAAAUGCGUAGAGAUCUGGAGGAAUACCGGUGGCGAAGGCGGCCCCCUGGACAAAGACUGACGCUCAGGUGCGAAAGCGUGGGGAGCAAACAGGAUUAGAUACCCUGGUAGUCCACGCCGUAAACGAUGUCGACUUGGAGGUUGUGCCCUUGAGGCGUGGCUUCCGGAGCUAACGCGUUAAAUCGACCGCCUGGGGAGUACGGCCGCAAGGUUAAAACUCAAAUGAAUUGACGGGGGCCCGCACAAGCGGUGGAGCAUGUGGUUUAAUUCGAUGCAACGCGAAGAACCUUACCUGGUCUUGACAUCCACAGAACUUUCCAGAGAUGGAUUGGUGCCUUCGGGAACUGUGAGACAGGUGCUGCAUGGCUGUCGUCAGCUCGUGUUGUGAAAUGUUGGGUUAAGUCCCGCAACGAGCGCAACCCUUAUCCUUUGUUGCCAGCGGUUAGGCCGGGAACUCAAAGGAGACUGCCAGUGAUAAACUGGAGGAAGGUGGGGAUGACGUCAAGUCAUCAUGGCCCUUACGACCAGGGCUACACACGUGCUACAAUGGCAUAUACAAAGAGAAGCGACCUCGCGAGAGCAAGCGGACCUCAUAAAGUAUGUCGUAGUCCGGAUUGGAGUCUGCAACUCGACUCCAUGAAGUCGGAAUCGCUAGUAAUCGUAGAUCAGAAUGCUACGGUGAAUACGUUCCCGGGCCUUGUACACACCGCCCGUCACACCAUGGGAGUGGGUUGCAAAAGAAGUAGGUAGCUUAACCUUCGGGAGGGCGCUUACCACUUUGUGAUUCAUGACUGGGGUG
rnacentral:rRNA from 1 species